rnacentral:rRNA from 1 species
GAUGAACGCUGGCGGCGUGCCUAAUACAUGCAAGUCGAACGCAUUGUGGUUGAAAUGAUAUGAAGAACUUGUUCAGAUUUGAUUUUCAACAUUGCAAUGAGUGGCGAACGGGUGAGUAACACGUGGGAAACCUACCUCUUAGCAGGGGAUAACAUUUGGAAACAAAUGCUAAUACCGUAUAAUAAUUAAAACCGCAUGGUUUUAGUUUAAAAGAUGGUCUUGCUAUCACUAAGAGAUGGUCCCGCGGUGUAUUAGUUAGUUGGUGAGGUAAUGGCUCACCAAGACAAUGAUACAUAGCCGAGUUGAGAGACUGACCGGCCACAAUGGGACUGAGACACGGCCCAUACUCCUACGGGAGGCAGCAGUAGGGAAUCUUCCACAAUGGACGAAAGUCUGAUGGAGCAACGCCGCGUGUGUGAUGAAGGUUUCGGCUCGUAAAACACUGUUGUAAGAGAAAGGAAUGACAUUGAGAGUAACUGUUCAAUGUGUGACGGUAUC